GAUGAACGCUGGCGGCGUGCCUAAUACAUGCAAGUCGAGCGAACAGACGAGGAGCUUGCUCCUCUGACGUUAGCGGCGGACGGGUGAGUAACACGUGGAUAACCUACCUAUAAGACUGGGAUAACUUCGGGAAACCGGAGCUAAUACCGGAUAAUAUAUUGAACCGCAUGGUUCAAUAGUGAAAGACGGUUUUGCUGUCACUUAUAGAUGGAUCCGCGUCGCAUUAGCUAGUUGGUAAGGUAACAGCUUACCAAGGCAACGAUGCGUAGCCGACCUGAGAGGGUGAUCGGCCACACUGGAACGGAGAAACGGUCCAGACUCCUACGGGAGGAGGCAGUAGGGAAUCUUCCGCAAUGGGCGAAAGCCUGACGGAGCAACGCCGCGUGAGUGAUGAAGGUCUUCGGAUCGUAAAACUCUGUUAUUAGGGAAGAACAAAUGUGUAAGUAACUAUGCACGUCUUGACGGUACCUAAUCAGAAAGCCACGGCUAACUACGUG
rnacentral:rRNA from 1 species